UUCUUUCUAGAUACACUUUCCAGUACAUCUACUUUGUUACGACUUAUUUCACUUUAAAAUGAAAGCGACGGGCGAUAUGUACAUAUUUUAGAGCUAAAAUCAUUUUAAAUAAAUUUAUUAAAAUUACAUUCAAAUCCAAAUUCAAAUUUUUAUAAUAAAAAUUAUCCUUAAAUAAAUUUAAUGUAACCCAUCUCUACUUUAAUAUAAACUACACCUUGAUCUGAUUUACUUUCUAAUAAAAAUUCUUGAAUAUUAAUAUUCUAAUAAAAUAUUCAAACUACGACGAUAUGUAAAUUAAUAAUUAAAGUAAAUAUUAUCGUGGACUAUCAAUUACAGGACAGGUUCCUCUGAAAAGACUAAAAUACCGCCAAAUUUU
rnacentral:rRNA from 1 species